CUUCUGACUUUGGACGCUUGAAGUGUGAUCGUGAAUUUUGAUUGUAUAGCGUAUUUUGUAUCUUUAAAAGUGAUUAUGACAGUACAAUUAAAUUUUAAGUGCUAACCUAUUUGUGACAAACCUCAUUGUAACUAGUUAGAAUACUGGAUCUUCAGCAUCACAUCCUCAUGAAAAAUUGACAUUUAUGAACUGCUGCCACAAACUUUUAGCAUCAUAAAAGUGAACAUUUUCUUAAUCUCACUUGCUUGUAAGGGGUUUCCUGCCUGUUGUGGAACGUCGUUAUCUUUCUCUGGGAGAGGUUUCUACCACCGUUUCCCGAGCCAUUCGACAGAUGAACAGAAAUGGUGUCCUGAAUGGAAUAAUAGAGCUUCCGAGACGUUGGUAUUCAGUCAUAGAGAAGCAGGGCGACUAUGCUGAAGGACUGUGAAGAGAUAUUGAAGAAGGAAAAAAAAGUAGCGAAACGUGCGGCAGCGGUGUGGAGCUCCGCUGCGCUGCCCGCUGCCGCCCCCGACCCAGGGGUUGGAGGAAUGACACCUCACACCUCGCCCUCGCUAGCCCACUGCGAUACGCCGCGUAAGGAGCUGCUACCGGGCAAACCAACACAACCGACAGUCCGUGAGAAAGCGUCAUAUAGAGCGAAGGAUUGUCAUCUGCUUUCCGAACUAUUGGAGUUAUCGAACAGAUCGAGAAAUACUGAACACCCUCGGUGCGUUUCGUUCAUGCAAACAGUUUAAUGGACAUUUUACUUUCACGUUUUCCUCUCCGACGUUAAAACUGAUCUCAAUAGAAGUUCGCAGUAGCAUCGAACAUUAUUUGUGAAAGUCAAGACGCAAUCCGCUUUUUGUAAAUAAAAAUAGACAGACCCCUGCAGUUGAUUUGUGCGUUUUUUAUUUUUCUUAGUAUGUUAACUUUUGUAGUCAGUAAACCUUUUCUGCUUAAAUGUAGUUGGUUCGAAAUUUCUGAACCCCUUUUUAACAGAUUGUCUAUUAAAGUGUACGAUUUCGCCCUGCUACAGCAACAAAAAAUGGCACAGAAGCUACUGAAAUCAAUGUUUUUUGCCAAGUAUCUUUUCUUAAUUGUGUAACAAUUUAUGUUGAAUUGUCGAUGUUGUAUUAAUGUUCCACAUGUCGUUUAAAAAUAAACUGCAUUAGACUUUUAA